AACGAACGCUGGCGGCAGGCCUAACACAUGCAAGUCGAGCGAGGACUUCGGUCCUAGCGGCGGACGGGGGAGUAACGCGUGGGAACGUGCACUUGGCUUCGGAAUAGCCCUGGGAAACUGGGAGUAAUACCGGAUGAGCCCUAUGGGGGAAAGAUUUAUCGGCGUAGGAGCGGCCCGCGUUGGAUUAGGUAGUUGGUGGGGUAAUGGCCUACCACGCCGACGAUCCAUAGCUGGUUUGUGAGAAUGAUCAGCCACUCUUGGACUGAGACACGGCCCAGACUCUUCCGGGAUGCAGCAGUGGGGAAUGUUACACCGCGGCGGAAGUCCUGAUCGACCCAGGCCCGGUGAGCGAUGAAGUCCGUAAGGAUGUAAAGCGCUUUCAGCUGUGAAGAUAAUGACGGUACCAGCAGAAGAAGCCCCGGCUAACUCCGUG
rnacentral:rRNA from 1 species